AGGAGCUGGGCCGUAUGAGUGGCAGGAGUCCCGUCCCGGGCCCGGCGGUGACUGCUUGCCGCUUUGUUUGCCAACUUGGGACAGUGGCUUCGGGGCCACUGGACGGAACCCGCCUCGGGUCGGCUAAACCCAGCCGCGGCGGCGCGAGGCCGAAACGUUCCUUCCCCGGCGGUUAUCCGCGGCCACGCGGCGGCUCUCAUUACGUACACAAGCCCCCGUUUGGUGCCGUAAGCCCAGCAGAGUUGUGAAAAAAAGACAAUUGUCGCGGUCUGCAGACCCUGAGCAGGCAGAGAUUCAAAGGACACAGACUUGGGAAGGCCGAGAGAAGAGGCCGGUAGCAUGAGGAUCAUCUCUGAAGCAGGCAGGGGAGCCUGUGGGCGGGUUAGCCUGACCCAGCUCUGUCAUCACAGCAGCGAGGCACCACUGCAGCUUUGUUCCUCUGGGGAUGCCCAUCAUCCAGAGCAUCCGUGUCUACAUCCUUAAGGUCCUCAGGGCAAGAUGUUUCCUUGGUAGCUGUGGAUACCCAGAGCUACCAGCAGGAGUGGAAGCUGACAACACAGCCCGGCUUUGUCAUCAGGAGAGAGCAAAUCCCCAUCUGACUGGCUGCCAGUUUCAGAACACCAGAGGUGCACUGCCAUGUGCCAUGAGGGUGAAGCCACAAUGGGCAUGGCGAGGCAGAAGCACAGUCCCUGGGCUCUUUGGAAUACGAAGUCAGAAGGAGGAUUUAGUUCUGUUUUUCACCUGUCACACCUACAUCCGAUAUUUACUCCAUGAGUAAAGUACUUGCUGUCUUCAAGUUGUUCUCUCUCUCUCUCUCUC